rnacentral:rRNA from 1 species
AACGAACGCUGGCGGCAUGCCUAACACAUGCAAGUCGAACGUGAUCCGGGACUUCGGUUUCGGUGAAAGUGGCGGACGGGUGAGUAACGCGUGGGAACCUGCCCAGUGGUAGGGGAUAACCGCGGGAAACUGCGGCUAAUACCCUAUGUGCCCUGCGGGGCAAAGAUUCAUCGCCAUUGGAGGGGCCCGCGUCGGAUUAGGUAGUUGGUGGGGUAACGGCCUACCAAGCCUUCGAUCCGUAGCUGGUCUGAGAGGAUGAUCAGCCACACUGGGACUGAGACACGGCCCAGACUCCUACGGGAGGCAGCAGUGGGGAGUAUUGGACAAGUGGGGCAACCCUGAUCCAGCAAUGCCGCGUGAGUGAUGAAGG